UGAUAAAUUUGAACUGUAUGUUUUUCUCCUAAGGGUUGGUUUCUCUUUACCUUUGAUUUGCAGAAGUAACGCAAGAUGGUUUCUUUUCUGUUGGUGAAAUGGAAUGCAUGGGAUGCUGUGUGAAUGCUCCAAUGAUUACAGUGGCUGAUUACUCUAAUGGAUCAGAAGGAUAUACUUACAAUUAUUUUGAAGAUGUAACCCCAGAGAAAGUAAUUGAGAUAGUUGAAAAGCUGAGAAAGGGCGAGAAGCCACCGGUAAGGA